CCGGCUGUGGGGUCGGCGCGCAUGCGCGGCCCUCGGCUCGGCCCGGGCGCACCUUUUCUCCCUCCUGCCACAAUGUGAGCGCUCAGCGGAGCAGAUAACCGCUGGCUGCCUGCUCCACCCCCGGCCCUCGCCCACUCCGCCUACUCCCGAGCGCCCAGAACUGGCAGACUGCUGACAUGGGAAGAGUAGCCACAACCACCACCAGGGCGAAGAUGUCUCUGGACUCAACUGAGAAGUUCAUCGAAGAGAAAGACUGACUUUCUCCACAGAGCCUUCUGAGAGCAGAGAACGUAUCCCAUGCACUGCACCAAGUCGCCCUCGCUUUAUAAACGCUUCACGAGUGCGUGACUGAUGGUGGAUCCCGGGAGCGCUUGUGGAGACUGCUGGGAUACUGCCUAUCACCAUCUCUCCUCCAGCACCCUACUCCAGCACAGCCUAUUCUGUGACCUACUUUCCCUUUAAGCCAGAAGAUGGUUCCAGGAACUGCUACUCUCUAAGUGACAGAUACCGGUGGAGAAUGAGCCUCAGCCUGCAGAUCAUUGGACCGCUCCCUUCCUUCUCCAGGGGGUGCCCAGUGGGCCAGAAUCCAUGUGUUUUGUAGGAUUCCACUCAACCCUUUACCUAAGUCAUCAGUCUGCCUUUGAUCUGUCUCAGCAAGCAGGGACACGUCUCCACGGGAAGCUGGUGUUAACAAAUGUACACACAACACACACAGAUGCACACAACACGCAGACACACACACACACCUUUCUCACUCUAUGAGCCAUUGUCUGGUCCUUUGCUCCUGGGCCUGACCCAUCUUUAUGAGAUCUAGGCUCUUCCUAUCCCGGGAUGCUGAAUCUGGCCUCCCAUGGGACAGAGUUGGGCACUUUGCACGUCUCCAGCCUUGCCCUCCCUUGGGGGCUUGUGAAGGAUCCACCCAUAUGGCAGAACCUUCCAGAGAGACUCGAAACUAGGAGCCUGACCUCAUGAUGCCCGAAGCACCUGGCACAGAGGGUACCAGCUCUGAUGUCCUGGCCCCAGCCCAGUUCUCUCUUCUAGAAUCCACACCUUCUCUGGCGCUCCUCCAGCCCUGCGAGAGCAGCCCCAGCUUAGCGAGAACGAGCAUGACCUUAGGAAGGACAUAGUACGAGGAGGAGGGGUCUCCGCUGAGGGACCUCACCAACUCAUUCACUGCUGGCGUGUCUCUCGGUUUCCCCUGGCGAAACCGCCCAUGCGUCUAUGAUUAUAAAGGAGCUCCGAACGGCCGGAAAACCCAAGUUAUGCCCUGUUCCCUUGCUGCCAGGAGCUACCUGCCCGCCCCACCCCUUGCUAGUUGCCCAGCCAGGCAGGGUCCUGCAGGAUGAAAGUUCCAAGAAGCCCGAGCAGGAAUAAUAAUGAUACUCAUCUGCAGUGGCGGCGGCGGCGGCGGCGGCGUCUUAGCCACCUGGGAACGCAGGGCCCCACGCCCUGUGCCUCACACCCCAGGACACUACAAGGGCUCCUUUCCCUAGAUUUUAUUACAGGGAUCCCACACUCUGCCAUUCCCAGCCCAACCCAUCCGAGUUUCCAAGAGCUUCAGUCUAGCCACCACCAGCCUCAUCCACCACCCAGGUUCCAUGGGAAGAUUUGGCUUAACAAGACCCAAGCCAACACAGGUGAAGGACGCCCAGCCUCUUGGAAACUUGGGUUCCAGGGUUUCUCAGAGAAGCAAUCCACCUGCCCCUGGCCCAGGGCACUUUCCCACAGACCCAUCUGUGUCUGGUCAGUACAAAGACCUGAAGCCUUGCAAGUGUCCAUCUGAGUCGCAAUUCCCAAGUCACCCACUCUAGGGCUCCAGACAAGUUUUAUUUUGAUUGUUACCCAGAAACUCUCCAAAGUUUGUAGUGUUUGCGAGUGAUGACCGGGAGGAGAGGGGAGCAGGGAGAGCGUCUCUCAUUUCUUUUUUUUUUUUUUUUUUUUUUUUUUUUUUUUUUGCUUCUUUUUUUCCGGAGCUGGGGACCGAACCCAGGGCCUUGCGCUUCCUAGGCAAGCGCUCUACCACUGAGCUAAAUCCCCAACCCCGCAUCUCUCAUUUCUAAUACACAUUUGCAAUCCUAGUCUCCUGCAUUCUUUCCUUGCCCCCCCCCCCGCACCCCUAGUAAAGUAACUUCUCAGCUCACCACAUGGGUCCCACGCUUCUCCGUUUGUGGGGUUGGCUUGGUCAGAUUCUCUGACCCUCCAAGGCUAGGCCAUGGAGCCAUGACUCUGUCUGACUCUCAUCCACUCUGGUUCCUCUUCCUCUGAACCUCUGAGGUCUCUACCUCUUUGUGCCAUAGCUAUCUGCCUAUCUUAACUUACCACAAGGUCAUCUGUGCCCUGGCGUCCCCCCACACUUUCUUGGUACAUGACUGCAAAGCCGAGGAAGGCAUAAGUUCAAUGAAUAUGUGUUGGACAUAAAUUGUGAAGAAGAAUCCUUUUUACCCUCACACAAUGUAUUUUUUAAAUAGAACGCAUAAUUAUGUUACUACAAAAUGUCACUGGUGUGGAAAGAGACGGGGGUGGGGGAGAUGAACCCCAACCUAGCUUUCUUGGCUGGUGAGCUACAGGCACCGAAGCCCCAGUGAAGAUUUCAUCCCCAUGGUUUUGGCCCCUAAGCUGACACAUAUAAUGAUAUCCAUGACUGGUCACUGGCCCGAUUCACUGUUGGCCUCUGUCUAGAAGGAGGUAAGCUCUUCCACCCGUAGAAAAUGACAGUUCCCUCCUUUCGGGCUUCAGUUGUUCUAAGCCCCAGCAGCCUCCAUGCCCCCUAGGAAUGCCACAGGGACCCCUAGGUUCAUAUGGUGUCAAGAGAGCAAGUGGUGGAGUGCUGUAGACCCCUGCUCUGGAUGCUCACUCAAACCCCUCAGAGGCACCUCCAGCACAGCUGCUACUGUCGUUAAAUAGUAACAAUAACACAGCAACGUCCUGUAUUUACCUACGGCUUUUCUCCAGGGAGCUCCACUAAUCUUUCUCUCAUCUCCAGAAGGAAGGGAAGGACCAAGGCGAUGAAGGACAAGUGAGCCAUUGCAGCCACACUCCCAAAUACAGGCAUCCUUUGUUCUGCAGGGUAAAUACAAUCCUAAGUAUUUCAGAUGGGGAGCACUGAGGGAGUAGAGAGGUAGCUAAUUCUCCGGGAUCCAAGGCCCGGGAUUGUUAAAUCUUUCGCUAGAAUUACAGUCUUUGUGAGGUGACAAUCCCCCAGAGCAAAGUACUUACUUACAUCUGCUGAUGUUUUGAGACAGUGUCUUACUAUUAGCUCUGACUGUCUUGGAAUGCACUGACUGGCUUCAAACUCACAGAGAUCCAUCUGCCUCUGUUUGCUGAGUGCUGGGAUUAAAGGUGUAUGCCAUGUGCCAUUAUCCUCAGCUAAGGUAUUACAUCUUAUCAGC